rnacentral:misc_RNA from 1 species
UCUCAACUGGAAUUCUUGCCAUUUAGACCUGAUAUAUAAAACAUAUCUUCAUCACCCACUGCCUAUAUCUCCAAGAAAAUUAUAUAGAUUUAUAAUUUUGAAAGGGAAAUUUUUUUUUUUCCUUUUUUAGAUAUUAGGGAAGAGUUUAUGCUGUAGCCAAAAUUAUGAAGUUGAAGAUGCAAAUUGGAUAUAUUCCUUUCUUUUUCUUUCCUUUUCAUAUGUUAUUGAUUAAUUAUGAUAUUGAAUGGUUAACAAUUGUCG